AUUGAACGCUGGCGGCAGGCCUAACACAUGCAAGUCGAACGAGUGGCGGACGGGUGAGUAAUGUCUGGGAAACUGCCUGAUGGAGGGGGAUAACUACUGGAAAAGGUAGCUAAUACCGCAUACCAUCAGAUGUGCCCAGAUGGGAUUAGCUAGUUUGUGGGGUAACGGCUCACCAAGGCCACGAUCCCUAGCUGGUCUGAGAGGAUGACCAGCCACACUGCAACUGGGACACGGUCCGGACUCCUACGUGAGGCAGCAGUGAGGAAUAUUGCACAAUGGGCGAAAGCCUGAUGCAGCCAUGCCGCGUGUAUGAAGAAGGCCUUCGGGUUGUAAAGUACGUUCAGCGAGGAGGCGUUACCCGCAGAAGAAGCAACGGCUAACUCCGUGCCAGCAGCCGCGGUAAUAC
rnacentral:rRNA from 1 species